GCUCAAUAGGAUGGAACGUUUCCCCCACUCUGAAUGGUUUCUUUCUGGAACUUCCAUCUGUAGGUCCAGUGGAUUUGUGCUUCCUCGCCUCCAAGAAUGAACUCGCUCACUGCUAUCCAAGCUCCAAGCCCAAUGGGCUGCGGUGAAUUCUCACACUGAUCUCUGUCAACUUCUCAUCCAGUGGGAUCUCUCCCCCACCAUCUCCCAUAAUGGUUUCUUCCUAAGAGGAUUUCAAAGAGAUAAUCCCCCUUCCAUCAAUGGAUGUUCUCAAUAUUCCUACAAUGGACUCCUACAAUGGACUCACCUAUUACUCCCACUCCCCCAACGGAGGAUUUCAAAGAGAUAACCCCCCUUCCAUCAAUGGACGUUCUCAAUAUUCCAAUCCCCAAAAAGGACAUCUCCAAAAAGAUCUCCAUACAGUGGGCUCUUCUGGUCAUUCCACGGAUAAAUAAAUGCCUUCACGGACAACCUCUUA